UUAUUUACUAAUUAGCUUGUUUUAUGUAUUUUUGAUCGGAAAAAUGAAAACAGUUUUAAUUUUUUUUACCAUUACAAUUUUGAGAAACAAUGUAAUAACUCAUGCCUUAAACAAACACUUUUAAAUGAGAAGUCUGUCCACGCCCUUUUCUGUUCCCACCAUAUUUGGUGGAAGUCACUGAAGGGACUCAUCACAAUUUGUCCAUUUAAAAUAAUUUUACAGACAUCACUUAUAAUUUCAAAAGAAUGGGGAUCAACCUUAGGCCCACGUCAACUCAUGAAAAGCUCAUAUCGAUUUGUCUCUGCAUGGCUAACUUAAAGAAGCAAAGACUGCACAACCUCCCUGCAGCUUCGGUGCUGUUUCUGUCAUGUCUGUCUGUUUUCUUUCAUCAGUCACCAAGAUACGCAAACAAACACUUUACGUAAGCUUGUUUGUAGGUCGUUAUAUUUUACAUUUGAAUCUGUGAGGGUUAAUUUGACCUUCACUUCCCUACACCCAUAACACUCAUAUCUAUGUGGAGGUCAUCUUUUGAACACAACUUUUGAACCCAAUGGUUAGACACUCAUGGUUAGACAUAGCGACAUGAUUUCUAUGACCCCUGAACACACUUUGGUGAGCAUAUGUAAUUUUCAAUAGCUAACAAAAAAAGAAUAGUAAAGAAAAAAAAGGUGAUUAACCGUGUGGGUGGAUUCAAACGUUUAGGUCCACCCCACAUUGCGCUCCGCCUCAAAUUGCACUCUGGAGCCAGGACUAUUCAGCCUGCUUUGGUCAUCAUCAGCCUUUGAACUGGUGCGGCUCCGGACCCAAAUCGGCUGAAUCGGCUAAACAUUGAGCUAUCAAGUUGAACUGGGACUAAAAUAACUAGUCAGCGUUGACACUCCAGAGUGAAGCCAUGGCCAAAAACAUGUCUCUGCUGUGGUGCUCCGGGUCUCCUCCGUGCUGGAUGGUGAUGAUCGCUCUCGCGGAGAAGAACCUGUAUGGAUACCACCAGAAAAGGCUCUCCGUCACCAAUAUGGCACACAGAACCCCAGAGCUCAUGGCAAUUAACCCCAGAGGACAAGUUCCUGCCUUCAGACAUGGAGACCGAGUCUUGAACGAGUCCUUAAGCGCCUGCUUGUACCUGGAGAACCAGUUCAAGGAGCAAGGAAAUAAGUUGAUCCCGUCCUGCCCUGCGGAGCAGGCCAUGAUGUAUCAGCGCAUGAUGGAAGGCACCGUGCUCUUUCAGAAGUCAAUAGCCAUAAUCCACCACUCGUGCAAGGUACCUAAAAAAGAGGAAUGUGACUCUGCAAUGGGAGAAAUCCACGAGGAGUUACGCAAAGAGGUCAAGCUGUGGGAAAGAUAUAGGAAGGAGGUGAAGAUGAACACUGCUCAUCUCGCUUUGUCGGUUUGUGCGUGGUAUGACGGCCGUGUGCCUCCGCUAGCGACGGUUGCGUCUGCGUCUUCUCCUAGCAGAUGGCAUUGGUCUCUUUAUCUGUUUUCCAUAUUGGGCUCUGCCUAUUUUGGUCUUUCUCCAGCUGAGUUGCUUUGUAGGUGGCUGUGUGCAUUUGCUGGCGAUGGUAGCGUCUGUGCACCUUCUCCCAGCUGGGUAGUGUGGCUUUAUGUCAUAAUGGCUACCGCAGGCGUGUUUUACGGGUGCUUUGCCUUGAUGUGCCUCUGCUAGCGUCAGUUCCAUCCGCGCCUCGAGCGGUCAAUCGGGACUGAGUACUUACUGUACAUAUGUAUGUAACAAUUAUUGUCUCUUGCAGUCAACAGGACCUUUCAUGUCAGGAAAGACAUUUUCCUUGUCUGAUGUAUGUGUUUUUCCAUCUAUUGCCUUUCUCUUCUAUUAUAGAUUGUCUCCAGAGCGUUAUCCGAAAGUGGCAGAAUAUUACAACCUGUUAAAGGAACGUACAAG